rnacentral:rRNA from 1 species
GUGGGGAAUAUUGGGCAAUGGGCGAAAGCCUGACCCAGCAACGCCGCGUGAAGGAAGAAGGUCUUCGGAUCGUAAACUUCUAUCCUUGGUGAAGAUAAUGACGGUAGCCGAGAAGGAAGCCCCGGCUAACUACGUGCCAGCAGCCGCGGUAAUACGUAGGGGGCAAGCGUUGUCCGGAAUGAUUGGGCGUAAAGGGCGCGUAGGCGGCCUGGUAAGUCUGGAGUGAAAGUCCUGCUUUUAAGGUGGGAAUUGCUUUGGAUACUGUCGGGCUUGAGUGCAGGAGAGGUAAGUGGAAUUCCCGGUGUAGCGGUGAAAUGCGUAGAGAUCGGGAGGAACACCAGUGGCGAAGGCGACUUACUGGACUGUAACUGACGCUGAGGCGCGAAAGUGUGGGGAGCAAACAAGAUUAGAAACCCGUGUAGUCC